AUACGUAGGGGGCGAGCGUUGUCCGGAAUGAUUGGGCGUAAAGGGCGCGUAGGCGGCCGCUUAAGUCUGGAGUGAAAGUCCUGUUUUCAAGAUGGGAAUUGCUUUGGAUACUGGGGGGCUUGAGUGCAGGAGAGGUUAUCGGAAUUCCCGGUGUAGCGGUGAAAUGCGUAGAGAUCGGGAGGAACACCAGUGGCGAAGGCGGGUAACUGGACUGCAACUGACGCUGAGGCGCGAAAGUGUGAGGAGCAAACAGGAUUAGAUACCCUGGUAGUCCACACUGUAAACGAUGAAUGCUAGGUGUAAGAGGUAUCGACCCCUUUUGUGCCGGAGUCAACACAAUAAGCAUUCCGCCUGGGGAGUACGGCCGCAAGGUUGAAACUCAAAGGAAUGGACGGGG
rnacentral:rRNA from 1 species